rnacentral:rRNA from 1 species
GCCUGCCCAGUGAUUAUAUUUAACGGCCGCGGUAUCCUAACCGUGCAAAGGUAGCGCAAUCACUUGUUCUUUAAAUGAGGACUAGUAUGAAGGGCGCCAUGAGGAUCAACUUGUCUCUCGUGAUAAGUCUACGAAACUGAUCUCCCAGUACAAAAGCUGGGAUAAACCCACAAGACGAGAAGACCCUGUGGAGCUUCAAACAACGGCUCACCCAAAAUGACGCCAUAGUUUUUAGUUGGGGCGACUUUGGAGAAAAACAAAACCUCCAAACUAUAAACCUAGGCUGACACGCCUAGUAAUACAACCCGUAUGACCCAAUAUAAUUGAUCAAUGAACCAAGUUACCCCAGGGAUAACAGCGCAAUCUUCUUCUAGAGUCCCUAUCGACAAGAAGGUUUACGACCUCGAUGUUGGAUCCGGAUACCCAAAUAGUGCAGCCGCCAUUAAAGGUUCGUUUGUUCAACGAUUAAUAUCCUACGUGAUCUGAGUUCAGACCGG